rnacentral:rRNA from 1 species
CAGCCGCCACGGGAAUACGGAGGGUGCAAGCGUUAUCCGGAUUUAUUGGGUUUAAAGGGUCCGUAGGCGGACUUAUAAGUCAGUGGUGAAAGCCUGUCGCUUAACGAUAGAACUGCCAUUGAUACUGUAAGUCUUGAGUAUAUUUGAGGUAGCUGGAAUAAGUAGUGUAGCGGUGAAAUGCAUAGAUAUUACUUAGAACACCAAUUGCGAAGGCAGGUUACCAAGAUAUAACUGACGCUGAGGGACGAAAGCGUGGGUAGCGAACAGGAUUAGAUACCCCUGUAGUCCCUGUCUCUUAUAC